rnacentral:sRNA from 1 species
UCAUAAUUUUUAAAAAAUGACAGCUAUGAAUCUGAAUCAAACCAAAUACUUAUCUUUUAGAAAUUUUGUCAAAUCUACAGAAUGAGGAGACAAAUUAAAUAUAUUUGUGUAUAUGAAUAUGAGAAAUUAAAAUUAGAAAGACUGAUGUUAAAAUCAACAUUAGACCUUCCAUUAUAGAACCAUCAUCUUGAGGGCAGCUGUAGAACCCAUUUCUCUGUAUUUAUUAUUGUUCAUUGGGAAAAAACUCAGGGUUGUCAUUAUACAGGUCCUUUGAGCUGAAAUUUAUUUAGUAUCAUCAUUUCCUGCAAAUUUAAUUAAUGGUGAUGCACAUUUGCAUUGUGCAAUAUAUUUUUUCUUUGUGUAUGAAUCUUCCCCUUGGAUAUUACAUGUAGUAUUUACCUUGCAAACACGAAACCAGAAACUUGUUAUAAGGUAGUUUUCUUGAGUAUAGAGUGUUGAUUUUCAGGAUUGUUAUUAACUUUGAAGGUUAACUGCUGACCAAAUAUCAACCUAGGAGCAUGAAUGUCCAGAUACAUGUAUCUCAAGUUCAGUCCUUAUGAAAUUGUUACAGCCACUGUUUAAGGUUUUAUUAAUUUUGUUUUUGAAUUUCAGUAAAAUUAAUUUAUUGCAAUUUAUACAAUGCAUUGUUUGUCUGUUACUGUUUGCAUUCAAUGCAGUUAUGUGUGGUACAAGAGAUUUUUAAUUGUCAAGUGUACAGUCUCAAAGGUAAAUCUUUGGAACAUAUUUUAACCAAACUGUAACGAUAAUGUACAUUUCAAGCCCGACACAUUGUAUAUAUUAUAUCAUGACUAACAUAUUUAUGCAUGUUGGAAGCAAAAUCAUGUUCAUGAAAUGUAAACACUAAAACAGGAUUCUAUUUCAUAUUUUUAGUCAUUAUGCAUAUUUUAGAUGAUAAGCAUGGUUACAAUAAAUCAUGUCAAAUAU